GACGAACGCUGGCGGCGUGCCUAACACAUGCAAGUCGAGCGGGGUAGCCGGAAGGUGUAGCGAUACAGCGGAGGGGUACCUAGCGGCGAACGGGUGAGUAACGCGUGGGCAAUCUGCCCCCGGGGGCGGGAUAACAGACCGAAAGGCCUGCUAAUACCGCAUGAAGCCGUCCUAUCGCAUGAUAAGACGGUAAAAGGGGAAACCCGCCUGGGGAGGAGCCCGCGUCCCAUUAGCUAGUUGGUGGUGUAAAGGACCACCAAGGCGAUGAUGGGUAGCCGGCCUGAGAGGGUGAACGGCCACAUUGGGACUGAGACACGGCCCAGACUCCUACGGGGGCAGCAGUGAGGGAUUUUCGGCAAUGGGCGAAAGCCUGACCGAGCGACGCCGCGUGAGCGAAGAAGGCCUUCGGGUCGUAAAGCUCUGUCUAGGGGGAAGAGGAAGGACGGUACCUCUGGAGGAAGCCACGGCUAACUACGUG
rnacentral:rRNA from 1 species